CGCAGACCGAUGUGUUUGCCAGCUCCGGUCCUCGGUUGGAGCGCUCUGGUCGCCGAGGUGCGACGGCCGCCCUUAAGGCGCUAGCGCGUUCCUAUUCCCGCGGCGGGCGAUGCUGUGGACCCGCGCUGUCCGAGCUGAAGAACUGGCUUGUAGCUGGUGGGUCUGUCAAUGAACAGUUGCGUUUCUGUGAAUGAGGCACGCAGGAAGUUUUCCCGGCUGUUCUUUUUGCAAAUAGACCAUGAUGGCAGAGCAGAGUAAGGAAGCAGUGGACACUGGAGCAGCAGCUGAGAACUCACAUUUCCACCUGCAUGCAGGAGGCAGAGAGCACACAGGGGAUGGAAGGAGACUCUGGCAGCCUUGAAGCCUGCCCCCAGUGACACACCAUACCAACAAGGCCAUACCCCCUAAUCCUUCCCAAACUGUUCUACCAACUGGCGCAACUGGAGCCAAGUAUUCAAACAUAUGACCUAUGUGGGCCAUACUCAUUCAAACCACCAUAUAACCCAUGCCCACUCCCCUAUAAUAACACCUCGCAUUCAUAUGAGAUUUCAUUAGUCCACACCAAGGCUUCAGGCCAUCACCAUACUGUACAAGGAAAGAGACCCAGAGAACUCUGUUAUCCCUUGGAGACAUGGCAAGAAGACUGCAGUGAGUCCAGAAGUGGCCAUCUAUGGACCUCAGCAGACACCUAACUUGGCAUCCUGACUUUGGACUUCCUGAAUUUCCGGUGUUUCUGAGCCGCCCAAUCCAUGUAACUGUUGGGUUUCUGAAGUGGAAAUACACACGUACCAUGCACCAUCUGUGAGCCGUCUGCAGUGACAUGUGGAUGGCAGUUUUGUAAGAGCAAGGUCUGCUUUGAAAAGACAGCAAAUAACAGCACCCACAUGGUCCUGUGGAGGUGUAAUGUCCUUUGUUCCCACUUUCUUUUUUCUGGUUUUACUUCUUCUAGUAACCGUUCUUCUACAUUGGAAGGCUCUAUUCUUCUGUAAUUCUUUCUGUAACUACAUUUCUAAGACUAUUAUCUCCCAUCAGCUAUUUUUCUUUAAGUCUAAAGAAUAUCCAUGUAUUCUGUCUUCAAUGUUCUAAUAAAGCCAUAUAUUCUGAACUCAUAAAUAAAUAUUAGU